GCCUAAUACAUGCAAGUCGAACGGCUAACAGGUCCCGGCAACGGGAGCUGACGAGUGGCGCACGGGUGCGUAACACGUAUGCAACCUACCCUGUACUGGGGGAUAACCCUGAGAAAUCGGGGCUAAUACUCCAUGGUAAUAUAGAUGGGCAUCCAUUUAUAUCUAAAGAUUCAUUGGUACGGGAUGGGCAUGCGCCCCAUUAGUUAGUUGGCGAGGUAACGGCUCACCAAGGCAUUGAUGGGUAGGGGUUCUGAGAGGAUUAUCCCCCACACUGGUACUGAGACACGGACCAGACUCCUACGGGAGGCAGCAGUAAGGAAUAUUGGGCAAUGGAGGCAACUCUGACCCAGCCAUGCCGCGUGCAGGAAGACUGCCCUAUGGGUUGUAAACUGCUUUUUCAGGGGACUAACCGUGGUUACGCGUAACCACCUGCAUGUACCCUGAGAAUAAGCAUCGGCUAACUCCGUGCCAGCAGCCGCGGUAAUAUGGAGGAUGCGAGCGUUAUCCGGAUUUAUUGGGUUUAAAGGGUGCGUAGGCUGACAUGUAAGUCAGUGGUGAAAGACCCGGCUUAACCGGGGGGUUGCCAUUGAAACUGUAUGUCUUGAGUGUAAUCGAACUGGGCGGAAUG
rnacentral:rRNA from 1 species